GUGUUCUACGUUUUCUCAUCUGUGAUGACAUGUAGCUGUCAGUAGGAUGAUACCCAGGAGAAAGUUUCACAGAAACAAACAUGUAAUCUGCUUCUUCAAAACAAAGGAAGUGGAGCCAGAAUCCACAGAUGUCAUUAUCCAUCUGCAGCCUUCAUUUACUACCCAGAAGGCAAGAAUAUUGCAUUUUAGAAUUGUCCAGACUUUUGUUCUUUCUUAUCACAAGACUUGGGAAGCUCCGACCAUUCGUGUUUACCCUGAGUGAAAGUCCCAGUCAAAGCCUUGCUUCCUGGAGGGCUUUGAGAUUCUGGUACAAAAGGCAUUUUAUCAGCACAAAGUAGAAAAGCAUCAUUCAUAUUCAUUUGCUGCUGUGGCAUUUGUCCCUGGAAUCUUCCUCUUGUCUGUCAACGUUGGGCCAAAGAACUGGCCUCAUCUGCAUUACAAAUAUUCUUUUAAUGGUCUGGAGGUAGGAAAGGGACACGCAGCACAAGAGUGAGAAGGGAAACUCAAGCUCUCCUAUUGGAGAGUCUCAGGCUUCUUUAUCCAUAAAACUGGUUGGACAUAAUUCGUGUGGGUUUAUGAUUUGUUCUGGAAAAACCUGAGUGUGAAAUCAAUACAGUGCUUUGUG